UGGGGAACAUGAGAGCCAGACCACAGCUCAGAGGAACCAACCUGGACCUGAACCCAGCUGUCCAUCCUUAAAGAGCGACCGGUCCAAGGGUCUCAUUACAAAAUUUAAACAAAGACAGUCAAAUGAUAAAAUAAUCCAUCAGAAAAUCAAAUGUGGACCUGAACCAACCUGUUCAUCUUUAAUGAGCAACAGCUCAAAGGAUUUUGAGGUUCAUUUUAACGGACAACGUUCUCCUGCAGUGAGUGUGGGCCAGGAGUUCCUGGAGGUUCCCCGUGGUCAGUCUGCCCAGCAGCAUAAAAUACAGUUGAAAUCCAUAUUUGUGGUCUGUACAUGUACAACAACUCCUUUUACAUUUGUUCUAUUCAAAACCAUCUGCAUGUUACACAUUGUAGGCCAGUGAAUUGUCUUAGUGUCCAACAUGGAUAUGAUGUUUGGCUCCAUGAAUUCAGUCCAACUGAGUCAUUCAUAUAGUAUUCUGAUCAAUCACAAUCACUUAGGUAGAAGGACAGGUACUAAAAUAGUGUUUGGUGAAAGUUGAUGUUGGGUCUGUGCUUCCACAGGCCCCGCUGGUUUAGAAACUUAUUCUCGUUAACGAAAGAAACUGGACAAUCAGCGAUCGAUCGAUUUUACUUGCUAGCAAGGGAGGCCCCGGUCGGUGUCUCAGAAAAGCGCUCUGAAUCCAACCGCAGACUGACCCCACCUUAGGCCUCCGCUUGCCGCCUUUUAUUGAAAACAGUUACAGUACACAGAAGCACCUCCCAUUGUAAAACCCCCCAAUGGUUACAAAAGAUAAGGCACCUCUGUGUGUAUGUGUGUGCACAU